UGGAGUCCACGCGCUGUUACAGCUCUCUCGGGUUUGUUUUGUUUUUCUUCUUCCUGACGGGUUCCUGGAAAGCGCGUGACUGCCCGACCACGUGGUGCGCCAGUGGGCCAAUAGGAGCAGAGUCCGAGGCUGGACGCUGCAGGUCACCUUUGCAUGGAGUCUGCCAUGUUUCUACAGUAGCCCGGAACAGACAAACCAGAACCAGAACAGAAAAACACUGGCUCUAGAAAGGGCCUUAGUGUUGGAAGGUGUGGGUGAAGCGAGUGAUGCUACAGGUGGAGUUUGCCAUCUUUCUACAGUAGCUCAGAACAGACAAACUAAACACUGGGCUGUAGAUAGGGCCUUUCACAUUUUUCACAAGUUUCGCAGCCACCGUAGUUUCUCCUACUCACUUUAUAGCCUGUUCUCAUUCCUAGGUCGUCAAAUACAGACACCAACAUUGUUCAUUUACUUGCAAUCUGCAGAUUCACCACUAGAUAAAUCCUACAUACUGGUCCUUUCACUUCAUCACAUUUUGAAACACUUAAAGGUACCAUGUGGAGUUUUCCACUACUAGCAGCGCUCUGGAGCAACGUUUGUGCAUGUUGGUCCUCUUUUAUAUUUGUUAUGCACAAGGACACCUUUCCCACUGAUUUACGGUCAGCGAACGAGCAAAGAAACAAAGCAAGGCACAAGCAAAGGCAGGAAGAAGAACUCAAGUAAACAUGGCUUUAACAGCAAGUAGUGUUCAACAUUUCAAGAAAAAAUGAGGAUGGAGAUAUUUUCAACGAGUCUGUUCAGCCUCAAGGAUACACAACAUAAACAGUUAUCACUCACAAAGGAGCCAUGUGCUUUUUUUCUUCACUUCCUUUUAUCAGGUGUGCUUCAAAGCAUCCAGACUCUUCCUCUCUCCUCCUCCUCCACAUGUAGGUUGUUAUUAACCUUUCAUGUGCCCUUCUAAUGUCUAAUACAAUAUUGGCAUACAAAGCAUGUCCAGUGUUCAACAGUUACAUCUAAAGACUUUAUCUAUCGCUACUAACCAUAUCAUGAAGUUUAUUAACUUUAACUUUAUUUUCUGUCUAUCUGGAUUUGCAGUUUGUUAUGCAAUGCUGUUUUUUGUUUAUAUGUGUUUUAUUUUGAAUUUGUGUCUUAAGUACCCCCUCGAAAAUGAGAUGCUACAUCUCAAGGGGAUAUCCUUUCAAUAAAUUCACAUUCAAAUUCACACUUACUGUUACACCACUGUAUGGUCUGUAUCUUAAAGAGGAACUCACAUUAAAGUGUAUGUUCAGGUCUACUGCAUAUGUAAGUUGUAUACGGCAUUUUGUGGCUCUAGAGGGAAUGUGUGAUGUCGGAUAAAUCGCCUCGAGUGAUGUAACUUGAGUCAGCAUCGGUUGGGUCUGAAGAAAAAAUCUGAACAUGGACGUAGAAAAGAUGAGCUGACCAGCACGCUGAAGCCUUACUCGUCAUCUUCUUGGGACUAGCUGAUUUCAGCAUAACGCACCUAAAUCUCUGCCCAAACUGUCUGCAGCUAAGUUGCAUUGUGGGUAAUGUAGGCACCAUGUUUUGACAAGGAAGAAGAAAAUAAAGAAUAAAAGAUCAGA